rnacentral:rRNA from 1 species
CCUACGGGGGGCAGCAGUAGGGAAUCUUCCACAAUUGGCGAAAGCCUGAUGGAGCAACGCCGCGUGGGUGAAGAAGGUCUUCGGAUCGUAAAGCCCUGUUGUCAGAGAAGAACGUGCGCGAGAGUAACUGUUCACGUUUCGACGGUACCUAACCAGAAAGCCACGGCUAACUACGUGCCAGCAGCCGCGGUAAUACGUAGGUGGCAAGCGUUAUCCGGACUUAUUGGGCGUAAAGGGAACGCAGGCGGUCUUUUAAGUCUAAUGUGAAAGCCUUGGGCUUAACCGGAGUAGUGCAUUGGAAACUGGGAAACUUGAGUGCAGGAGAGGAGAGUGGAACUCCAUGUGUAGCGGUGAAAUGCGUAGAUAUAUGGAAGAACACCAGUGGCGAAAGCGACUCUCUGGUCUGUAACUGACGCUGAGGUUCGAAAGCGUGGGUAGCAAACAGGAUUAGAUACCCGAGUAGUC